rnacentral:lncRNA from 1 species
UGCACAGGCCAUCCAAAUCAGAUUAUGUUAUCAUGGUUCUCCAAUCAUCGCCAAGAGCAGGAUCAUGAACAUGAGGAGGAAAUCUAGUUAUUCAGGUACAUGUUACCCUAUUAAAAGUUUGAGGAAAGUACAUUGAGCUGUUAUAAUGGGAUUAGAGUUUCAGUUGUGUUCCCAGGGUUGCCAUGACUCUGUGAUUUUGGUGCUUCGCUGUCAGGCUUGGAGAGCACAGCUCCACUCCUGCCAACCACAAAGAAUCCAGACCAUCAUCACAGAGCAGUGGGCAUCGAGAGUGUGAAGCCUGUGGGGAUUAUCUUUAUCUAGGUACAAACGCCUGAGGCAGAGACUGAACGAGCCCACACAAGAGCUGGGGAAGGAUCCCAGCAUCUACUCACACUAAGCAAGGCAGCAAGCAGGCACAGCAAGAAGAAACAGCCUUGUUAAAUAAGACUUUGACCUUCUAGGUUGUCUCUCAACACCUUCAGGAACCUGGUCCUUUCUCUUUAGCCUCACCUGUCCCAUCAGGGUAUGAAGAGGUCUGAAGGGUUUCUUUCCCAACUGACAGGAGUUCACAGGAGUUGAUGAUCUCCUUCACGUUGUCAGUGAAUAGCAAUCCACAUUAUGAUAGUCACUAAAAGUUUUUUUCUUAAUUAAACAGGGUGAAGGGCAAAACCAGAGGCAUGCAGAUUGACCUAACUGCAAUGCAGAUCAGCUUCCUGCAUGACUUUUAAAGACAAGGAGAAUUUCUUGACUUUCCUGUCAUUACACCAUGCUUCUAAACUAGAGUGGCUCCACCAGCUUUGUGUGUUGUGUGCUUCCUGUCCAUUCCCAGCUUUUGGAGGUAUUUAUCUCCAUGAACAGAGAAAGGAAAAGGCUGACCAGGAGCUACUGCAACAGCAACCUCCAGCCAUUCAAAAUAAGUGCAGGACAGAAGAGGUUUACGCCACGCUAUGAUGAAAGGAUGAUUGAGUUUUGAACUGGCCUAAGUGUACACACUCAUCUCCCAGAUGGAAAUAACGUGAGUUGAUGCAUUACAGGCCACAGAGGUGUCUGAGCCUUGGAGGUUUCUGCCAUUUGAACGCAUGCACUUCUGUCAUGGGAUAAAUGGGUGCAACAGACACACACUGCUCUUAGGACAGGACUCCCCGGGGUCCCCAUGACUCAGGCUGCUAGGAAUGGGUCGAGGUCUUGGGGUCUUGGCUUCAGUUCAGGCACUGCCUGUGCUUUCUCAAGGCAUCUGUUCCUGCAAGGUGCCUGGUGGAAGGAGCAGGGCAGCAGUGGGGUGCUGCAGAGGUAUCUGUAGGGUGAAACCCAUGCCCCGUGCAGGCAGCCAGACACGCUGGGUCUGAAGUGACACACGGGCCUCGUGCUGCAGCCAGCCACAGCGAGCUGCAUUGUAUGAAAUCCUGGCCCCGCUCACAGACUGCCAUGUGUCCAAGAAAAUCCUCUUUUUUUUUUUUUUUUUCUUUUUUUUUUUCUUUCUCAUCCUCUCUCUCCACAAAGAAAUCCUUCCCCAGAAUUUCUCAGAAUCUGAGGGCUUUGGCCAUUUAGCCGAGAUUUCUGGCUGCAGCACAAUUAUAAUUGGUCUCUCA